AACGAACGCUGGCGGCAGGCCUAACACAUGCAAGUCGAGCGAUCCUUCGGGAUAGCGGCGGACGGGUUAGUAACGCGUGGGAACGUGCCCUUCUGUUGAGGAUAGCCCCGGGAAACUGGGAUUAAAACUCGAUACGCCCUUAGGGGGAAGGAAGGAUCGGCCCGCGUUAGAUUAGGUAGUUGGUGGGGUAAUGGCCUACCAAGCCUACGAUCUAUAGCUGGUUUGAGAGGAUGAUCAGCAACACUGGGACUGAGACACGGCCCAGACUCCUACGGGAGGCAGCAGUGGGGAAUUUUAGACAAUGGGCGAAAGCCUGAUCUAGCCAUGCCGCGUGAGUGAUGAAGGCCUUAGGGUCGUAAAGCUCUUUCGCUGGGGAAGAUAAUGACUGUACCCAGUAAAGAAACCCCGGCUAACUCCGUGCCAGCAGCCGCGGUAAUACGGAGGGGGUUAGCGUUGUUCGGAAUUACUGGGCGUAAAGCGCACGUAGGCGGAUUACUAAGUCAGGGGUGAAAUCCCGGGGCUCAACCCCGGAACUGCCCUUGAUACUGGUAGUCUAGAGUUCGAGAGAGGUGAGUGGAAUUCCGAGUGUAGAGGUGAAAUUCGUAGAUAUUCGGAGGAACACCAGUGGCGAAGGCGGCUCACUGGCUCGAUACUGACGCUGAGGUGCGAAAGUGUGGGGAGCAAACAGGAUUAGAUACCCUGGUAGUCCACACCGUAAACGAUGAAUGCCAGUCGUCAGGGGGCUUGCCCUUUGGUGACACACCUAACGGAUUAAGCAUUCCGCCUGGGGAGUACGGCCGCAAGGUUA
rnacentral:rRNA from 1 species